GCGCAGGUUAACCCCCGUUCCCAUCUGACUACGGAUCAGAAGGUUGGGGGUUCGAAUCCCUCCGGGCGCA
rnacentral:tRNA from 1 species